CAAAUUAGGGAAAGAUCCCUUAUCCGGAGAAGCUCAAGUCCCAAGCAUUCUGGAUAACAGGUCCCAUACCUGUGUUAACAUUCAAGGUGCAGGCAAUGUCAAGCAGGGGCAGAAGGGCUGCAGUACAACAUAUGUGUUAUAUUUAUAAAUACCUUGUACUACAAACAAUAAAAGCAUAGAGGUAAAUGUGUGUUAGGCAAGAGAUGACAGCAGAGAGGAAUACAACACACCAGUGAAAUGCAUUGUGGGAUAUGUGGUUUCUGUAAGCCCUAGGUGAAUUUGUUACAUUUGGUAACACUGAGUUUUGAUCCCUCCUCCCCUGCUCAUAUUUGCCAUGAUGCAGAAAGAAAGGAGAGCUGUGUUGCUGUUGUAUUUCAUCCUAUAAAACAGGUAUUUAUUCCUCUAAAAGAAUAAUUGCUAUGCAAAGCAAGGUUGCCCGUUUGGCGGUUUUAUAGCCAAAUUGGGCUUUUUAAAAAAAUAAUUGGUGGGUUUUAAAAGUCCAAACGGAUUUGGGCUAGUUUUGGAAGUUGCCACGGGUUUGGACUUUUAAAAGCCUAAUUUUUUAAUGCAAAUUGAGUUUGAGUGAUGCUGUCUGGGCCUGCCCCACUGCCCCAGCUCCCAUUUCGCUGUGCUGGAUUAAUUGUUGCUGCUGGUGGAAUCUGACUGAGAAAAACCCACUAAUUCUACUAACCUCCCAGAAGCCCGGCUGUGGUUUCAACUUUCUGUGUCUCUGUGAAUGUGUAAUCUGUAUAAGGUAUGGGAAAUUGAACUAGGGCUAGUUUUGGGCUUCUUUUAAAAUGGCUUUUGGCUACUUUUUGGCUAGUUUUUUAAAGUCUUUGGCUGGUUUUGAAAUGUAAACCUGGCAACCCUGAUGCCAAGAUCUAUUAGCGGUGCUUGUGUUGCAUAAGACAAAUAGAUUUAGGUGUGGAGGGUGGACAUUCUCUAUAAAAAAAAUAGCUUUUACCUGGGACUACUAUGGCACGACAACAAACUGGACACCCUGGGCCCAUUCACACAGUAAUUAGAUCCAAUUAGUGCCAAAUUAUAUAGGGGUUUUAUAGGCCCACAGUGAAGAUAAAUAUGGGCUGGUGAUAUUUCUCCCUGGCCAGGGCACACUAGAUCUUCUGUUAUUCUGCUAAACCAGUCUGACUGUAAAUAAUUCACAAACCACAGAAAAUAAAAUAUAGAGAGAAUUGCAAGUUAAAUUGUACUGUCGUCAUCCUCUACUUUAUUAUUUAUAUUUGUGUGUAUUUUUAGCCUUUUUUCUGCUGUUGGCACAGUGGUGAUCUCUGCAACCAGGAGACUGUCCAUGUGCUCCCUGGAUUUGUAUUUUUGCUGUGUGUAUGUGCCAGCGAGUGCACUGAGCAUACAGCCUUCAAGCUAUGAAGUGGAAUGGUGGGAAGGUCCCAGUAAUAACCAUUAUAAACACAAUAUUUAGCCCAUUAACCCAGUGUGAGAAUGCGUGGUGGAGAAUCCAUACCUGCAGGAGGACUGCUGUGUUUAACUCACAGUUUUCCCUCAGAGUCGAACCGCAACAGGCAUCCCCACUAAGAAAGUUCAAGGAUACAUUUCUACUUGAGAAGACACACUGAAUUGCACAUAGCCCCUCAGAAAUUCUGCAUUUGCCCUGAACGAUACCUUGUAAAUGAACUGAUCUGUGUUUCUCACCUCUGGAGCCAUGUAUGCAAGACUCCCAAUUCUGCCGCUGAUGGUGUCAUUGCCAAACACUUUUUCUGCUGCCAAGCCAAAGUCCACGAUCUUAAUUUGACCUUCACUGCUCAGCAUGAUGUUGUCUGGUUUGAUGUCGCUGCAAGGUAAAGGUGUUUCCUCUUUCUGAUCUCCAUCAUGAGACUUCCUCCACUUGCAUACUCCAUCGUGAAGAAGGCGUGGGUCUGGUUAUAGAGACAAAGGAGGAGAUAAUGAGCUACAGGAACAGGUAGCAGUGUAUGUUUCUAAAAAAUGGCAGCAGAACAUGUGAAGCUUCAUGGCCUGCGGCAUUUUGCCCUGCUGAGAAGCACCACAACCUGUCUGCUGUACAGUAAGGCAUUUUAAAUGACAUGAUAAGGGCCUAUGACAUGUUUGUUGAGAUGCAUCAAUUAAAGGAUGAGACGUGUAGAACAAACAUCGCCUAGAAUACAGAUCAUUAGUUAAAUGAAUUGGGGUUUGUUACCUGGGUUUGAAAGGCUGCGUAGGCAUGGCACAGAUAUGGAUGCCCCGCAGCAACCCUGAGCACUCGCGCCUCCCGAACGAUGAUCUCCAUGUUCUCCUUCUGUGGCUUCUUCAGGAUGCUCUUUAUGGCCACAAGUUGUUUGGUGGUGGCUGUGGAAGCCAACGCCACCUGAGAAAAGCAUUGAAAUAAGAAAAGGUUAGAAGUUUUAAUUGGGGACAUUUCUGCAGUGUGUCACUGUGACGGAAUUAACUAAAGUACAGGUAUGUCACCUGUUAUUCAGAAUGUUUGGGACCUGGGGGUUUCUGUAUAAUGGAUCUUUACAUAAUUUGGAUCUUCCUAC